rnacentral:rRNA from 1 species
GACGAACGCUGGCGGCGUGCUUAACACAUGCAAGUCGAGCGGUAAGGCCCUUUCGGGGGUACACGAGCGGCGAACGGGUGAGUAACACGUGGGUGACCUGCUCUAGCUCUGGGAUAAGCCUGGGAAGCUGGGUCUAAUACCGGAUAUGACCUCGCGGUGCAUGUUGCGGGGUGGAAAGCCUUGUGCGGCUAGGGAUGGGCCCGCGGCCUAUCAGCUUGCUGGUGGGGUGAUGGCCUACCAAGGCGACGACGGGUAGCCGGCCUGAGAGGGCGACCGGCCACACUGGGACUGAGACACGGCCCAGACUCCUACGGGAGGCAGCAGUGGGGAAUCUUGCGCAAUGGGCGAAAGCCUGACGCAGCGACGCCGCGUGAGGGAUGACGGCCU